rnacentral:rRNA from 1 species
UGCGUAGGGGGCAAGCGGUGUGCGGAAUUAUUGGGCGUAAAGCGCGGGCAGGUGGGAUAUUAAGUCUGGUGAUAAAGUUCGUGGCUCAACCCCGUGAAGCAUUUGGAAACUGAUAUUCUUGAGUUCAGGAGAGGAAAGUGGAAUUCCUAGUGUAGCGGUGAAAUGCGUAGAUAUUAGGAGGAACACCAGUGGCGAAGGCGACUUUCUGGACUGUGUCUGACACUGAGGGGCGAAAGCUAGGGUAGUGAACAUG